rnacentral:rRNA from 1 species
GCUUAGCCGUAAACCUGAAUAAUUUAACAACAAAAUUAUUUGCCAGAGAACUACUAGCUACAGCUUAAAACUCAAAGGACUUGGCGGUACUUUAUAUCCGCC